CUCUAACCUUAACCACAACCUAAUCUUAACCUUACCCUAACCUCAUACUAACCAGACAACUGGUCUUCACCGUAUGUGAUGGAGACUUGAGUAAUAUCUGGAACACACACACACACACACAUGAAUAACCACAUCUAAAGUAUUCUCUCAGAAACAACACAUACAGUUGUAACAGAAACAUCCACAGAGCUCAGACUACAUCCCUGCGUGCCUCCUUCCUAUGCACUUCCCCAUCUGUGCCACUUAUUUCUGUCCUGCUUUUUUUUUUUAGCAUCGCACUACUUUGCUUUUCCUUCCUUCCUUCCUUCCUUCCUCCUCCAGGUCCCUCUCAUUAUAAGCAGCACAUGCUCUCAGUCUGUCACUCAGCCUCUCCACAUACACACACACACCACUGUGGGCCCCAUCGCUCCCAGGUUACCUUAUCAAUAAUGAUCAGUCCACCCUGUGCAGUGCAGGUCCUGCUCUCUGAGCACUCGCCUCUCUCCAUCCACCCUCGUCUGUCAGUCUGGCCACAAACCCCUCUUUCCUCCCUUUAUCCCGAGGUAAGAUACUUACUUUUCAGAUAAAGCAUAUUAUGAUAAAUCGGCUGAACUCUGUGCGUGUGUGUGUGUGCACGUGUGUCUCUGUGUAAACUGUCACUCACACACUCUCUCCUACACACACACAAACAUAACAAAAAGCAACAUGAUGUCAGUGGUACAGAGGGAAUAGUGUUUGUGUUCUUGUUUGUGUGUCUUUGUGAGGACCAAAAAAACUUAUCAACCAUAUUAGGAGGUAAGACACUUUGGGACAAUGAAGACUUUUUUCUGGUCCUCACAACUGUAAAGGGCUCUUUAAUGGAUAAGAUCUGGCUUUAAAGGUUAGGAUUUGGGAAAAAUCUCUUUUUAGUAUAAGUCUACAUUUGGUGCACAGAAGUCUCCUCUGACAGUAUGCUACUCAUCCAAAUGAAAAAACAAGAGUGAAUGCAAAUACCAUUUUGGUGUAAAGCCACCCACAAACGAAAAGUCUCCGGCAGAACGGCAGUGAGAAAGGCUUUUAACUGGAAUAACAAUAACAAUACUAAUAAUAAACUAAAUGUUCCAUACUUCAGUGAUAUUACUGAAAGACCCAAAACAAAAGACUUGUUGUCAUCUUCUAAUCAAACGUCUUUCUGUUGUCAGUCAUUGUCAGAGCCUCAUGGAGCACAAUCAUCACUGUAUGAAUCCCAUGUCUAUUAAAAUGGAUCUAGAGGCAGAAACCAGUGUUUCACCAUUUAAAAACUGAAAAGGCUACUGAAACAUUCAAUAUCACACAUAAUUAUCUACACAUAAUUCUCUAUAACUGUGUUGAAUGUGUCCUCACAUGAAGGACGAGAGGAUACAUAUUUCCUAUGGAAAUGAAAGGAGGGCAACAGUGCAGCAUAUGGAGGAGUGGGAUGGAAGGUGAGGUCAGUGAGCGGAGUGAAAAACAAGUUUGGAGGAAAUGAAAAUACAAUGUCUGUGUUUGCGUGGGACAUGAAUGCAUGUUUGUUUCAAAAUGUGUUUAUGAAAUGCUCUGUGUGUGUGUGUGUGUGUCUGAGUUCAUGUGUGUGUUGUGUAGGAGCUGGAUUAGAUGUCCUAAGCCUCUUAUGUGCUGGUUGUCCUUAAUUUGUUUCUGCUCUGGGUCCUAGUGCCUCCCACCAAGCAGCAGUCGUCCUUCACCACAUCAAACUAUCCACACAACAAAUGUCACGCAACAAUCAAAUACAUAUACAAUAAACCAUGCACUACAGCCUUAUAGCCUAUGUAAUCAUGUCUAUGCAAAGAAAGAUUCUGAAUCAUGUAAAUGACUGAAUAAAAGUGAACAUACCAGUCAAUGCUCCUGUUUACUACAAAUAAAUGAAUAAAGAAAAAACAACAACAACAA